UACGUAGGGUGCGAGCGUUUAAUCGGAAUUACUGGGCGUAAAGCGUGCGCAGGCGGUUCGUUAAGACAGAUGUGAAAUCCCCGGGCUUAACCUGGGAACUGCAUUUGUGACUGGCGAGCUAGAGUAUGGCAGAGGGGGGUAGAAUUCCACGUGUAGCAGUGAAAUGCGUAGAGAUGUGGAGGAAUACCGAUGGCGAAGGCAGCCCCCUGGGCCAAUACUGACGCUCAUGCACGAAAGGCGUGGGAGCAAACAGG
rnacentral:rRNA from 1 species